UCAUGCUGGUCUUGAGCUACUGGCCUCAAAGGAUCCUUCUGCCUUGGCCUUCCAGAGUGCUGGGAUUAUAAGAGUAAGCCAAGGCACCCGGCCCAGUUUUCUGAUUAUUCACAUUGUAUCUUUUUUGGUGGGUUCCUUUACUAUCCCUUAGUCACAAAAUAGCUUGCUAAUUAAGUGUGGGAAGUGGUGUGGGUAUGCCUCGUUUAAAAAUUUAAGUAGACAAAACUCUUGAAAUGCAAAGGAUCAUGAAUGUAAACCAAAUUGAGGUUCCAUCGCUCUACUUAGGGAGAAGGCCUCAGCAGCGCCAAGGUCACCAGGCCCUCUGUUCCUUGCAUACCUCGGGGGCCUGUCCCCCACUUUUCUUUAUCCCAUUGCAUUAGAUCCUUGGCAGAGAGGGCCUCAAGACUUUCCACAAAAUGGGUCUGGCAAAGAAACGACUCCAUUCUUGCCAAUCUUCAAGAAGAAGGAAUUGAGGCUGGACCUUCUAAAUGGACACAUUCCAUCCUGUGUGAGGAGACGGUUUUCAGCACCCGCCCCUGCCCCAGAUGGGAUCCCAGCUCCAGACCUUGCCUUGCAGGCUGCUGCUUCUGUAACUCGGAACAUUUCAAUGUUCUCUGCUUGGAACCCUCUGGAGCAUCACCUAGAAACUUCAAUCAGAAUGGAUGGGGUGUUCCAUCUGGGGGGGGGGGAAGGGAUACCCCGUGUCAAGCACCAUGGAGGGUGGACUACAUGCUCUUUCAAUCCUCAACAUAGCCCAGUAAGGUAGACACUGCUGUUCCCAUUUUCAGAGUAACCAACUUGAAUGUAUACCUCCUUUGAAAAAUAAGAAGCGGAUUUUUCAAAGCACACAUCGGACCCACCAAUUAUUCUUGGAUGACCCUUCAACAUGGACACAUGUGAUCAACAGGUGCUCAAGGGUGAUUUCAAAUCACGUUUAACUCAUGCUCGUGAGUCCUUGGGAGGGGAUUGCUAUCAGAUCUAGAGUCACAGAUUAGGAGCUCGAAUGGACUUUGAAGCUCGAGCCUCAUGGACAGACCAGAAAACCCUGGCCUGGAGGGACACACUCAUCCAGAGCCCAGAGGAAACCAGAAGUCCAGCUUGCUGCUGUCCCACCUGCUGGUUUUUCUACCACAUUGCACCCUCUUACCACUUCUUUUCUCCAGAAACCAGAGAGACACUGGGCAAACUUGAUCAGCACAGGACUGUCAUUGGGUGCUGAUGGAGUCAUAACGAGAGUAUUCACUGAAUAUUUGCCGUACACUGAGCACUGUAUAAAGAACUUUCACUCAUGACCACA